GUUAAGUCUUUUAUUUGAAAGGUAUAUAAGGUGUCUGUGCUUUGAAUUGUAUUGUAAAUCAAAUCAAACAACAAAACAAUCAAAAAAAAAAUCAAAAAGUUUUUGGGAAAACUUUCAACAACAAAAAAAAACAAUGAAUCGUUUCGUAGUAUUGGUUGCAAUAGUUAUCAUUGCUUUUCUAUCAAACAUAACUCGACAAGAUGAAGAUGAUGGAGGAGGAGGAGGUGAAGCAGUAGAAGGGGAAAUUGCUGAUCCAAAUAAAAAACCAAUACCAGACCAUGUACAAAAAUAUUAAGUUUGAAAAAUAAUGAAAAUGUUUAUUUAUUAAUUAUUUUAUUAUAAAUAUUCUGUAAU